rnacentral:rRNA from 1 species
UACAGAGGUCCCGAGCGUUAGGCGGAAUCACUGGGCUUAAAGCGUGUGUAGGCGGAUCUGUAAGUACCUUGUGAAAUCCCACGGCUCAACCGUGGAACUGCUUGGUAUACUGCGGGUCUUGAGCCACCUAGGGGCAAGUGGAACAAACGGUGGAGCGGUGAAAUGCGUAGAUAUCGUUUGGAACGCCAAUGGUGAAAACAACUUGCUGGGGGUGUGCUGACGCUGAGACACGAAAGCCAGGGGAGCAAACGGG